CUCAAUUGCUUCAGAGGAAAAGGAUGGCUUUGUCAAACUUGUAUUUGUCCCUGGGGUAAAGGGCUUCAAUGCUGAGCAUCGAGCAUAAGGAGUUGGAGAAAGAGAUGUGGGUGAUUUACCUCUGCCAUUUCUAGAAGCUGAGAAGUCCAACAUCAAGGCACAGGCAGGUGGCAGGUUUGAUUGUCUGGUGAAGGCUGCCCUCUGCUUCCAAGAUGGACCCUUGUUGUUGCAUUUUCUGGAAAAAAGGAACACUGUGUUCUCAGAUGGCUGAAAGCAGAAGGAACCUCAGGCCAAGUGUUCUUGACAGCUCAUCCACAGACUCCCACUGGUAAAGCAGCAUGAGGAUGGCUUCUGUUAUUUUAUUUCAGAAUUUUUUCCUGCAGUGGCAUGCCAGUACCAGCUGAGGAUCAUGUAUGCAAUAUUUGCCUUCUUUCAUCUUCUACCUAGGAUGGCUUUAAUUCUCUUCGAGGAGAAUUUAUUUUAGUUUUUCCCAGUAAGAGAAUCCACUUCUCUUGCCCAUAUUCAUAAAUUAUCAUUAAAAAUUAAACUUGGUACAAUAAAUAUUAACAUGGUUCCAGCUUCUCCAUUGUUAUGCUCAGAAUUCAGUUCAUUGGCAGGAUCUAGGCAUAGGAUCAGUCCAAAGUUGGGCCAAGGCACAAGGAAGGUUUGCACAAGUUUAGAGCAUCAUUGAGAAUCCAUAUGGCAUCAAAUUCUGACCAUCAGAACCAAUCAUUUUAGUCAAAUUGCUGAGACACAAAUUAAGUCCAGGAAUCGGUAG
rnacentral:lncRNA from 10 species